rnacentral:rRNA from 1 species
UUGGGCGUAAAGAGAGUGCAGGCGGUUUUCUAAGUCUGAUGUGAAAGCCUUCGGCUUAACCGGAGAAGUGCAUCGGAAACUGGAUAACUUGAGUGCAGAAGAGGGUAGUGGAACUCCAUGUGUAGCGGUGGAAUGCGUAGAUAUAUGGAAGAACACCAGUGGCGAAGGCGGCUACCUGGUCUGCAACUGACGCUGAGACUCGAAAGCAUGGGUAGCGAACAGGAUUAGAUACCCCUGGUAG